rnacentral:rRNA from 1 species
AGUGAACGCUGGCGGCAGGCCUAACACAUGCAAGUCGAACGGCAGCACAGUAAGAGCUUGCUCUUACGGGUGGCGAGUGGCGGACGGGUGAGGAAUACAUCGGAAUCUACUUUUUCGUGGGGGAUAACGUAGGGAAACUUACGCUAAUACCGCAUAUGACCUACGGGUGAAAGCAGUGGAUCUUCGGACCUUUCGCGAUUGAAUGAGCCGAUGUCGGAUUAGCUAGUUGGCGGGGUAAAGGCCCACCAAGGCGACGAUCCGUAGCUGGUCUGAGAGGAUGAUCGGCCACACUGGAACUGAGACACGGUCCAGACUCCUACGGGAGGCAGCAGUAGGGAAUAUUGGGCAAUGGGCGAAAGCCUGACCCAGCGAUACCGCGUGAGUGAAGAAGGCCUUCGGGUUGUAAAGCUCUUUUGUUAGGAAAGAAAAGCUGUAGGUUUAUACCCCGCUGUUCUGACGGUACCCAAAGAAUAAGCACCGGCUAACUUCGUG